UGCAAUGGAACCUUGUUGAUACUGCUUG
rnacentral:piRNA from 1 species